GACGAACGCUGGCGGCGUGCUUAACACAUGCAAGUCGAACGGAAAGGCCCUGCUUUUGUGGGGUGCUCGAGUGGCGAACGGGUGAGUAACACGUGAGUAACCUGCCCUUGACUUUGGGAUAACUUCAGGAAACUGGGGCUAAUACCGGAUAGGAGCUCCUGCUGCAUGGUGGUGGUUGGAAAGUUUCGGCGGUUGGGGAUGGACUCGCGGCUUAUCAGCUUGUUGGUGGGGUAGUGGCUUACCAAGGCUUUGACGGGUAGCCGGCCUGAGAGGGUGAACGGCCACAUGGGGACUGCGAUACGGACCAGAAUGCUACGGGAGGCAGCGGUGGGGAAUAUUGCACAAUGGGUGGAAGCCUGAUGCAGAAAUGCCGCGUGCGGGAUGACGGCCUUCGGGUUGUAAACAGAUUUCGCCUGUGACGAAGCGUGAGUGACGGUAAUGGGUAAAGAAGCAACGGCUAACUACGUG
rnacentral:rRNA from 1 species